rnacentral:rRNA from 1 species
AUUGAACGCUGGCGGCAGGCUUAACACAUGCAAGUCGAGCGAGCGGCGGACGGGUGAGGAAUGUCUGGGAAACUGCCUGAUGGAGGGGGAUAACUACUGGAAAAGGUAGCUAAUAACGCAUACCAUCAGAUGUGCCCAGUUGGGAUUAGCUAGUAGGGGUGGAAAUGGCGCACCUAGGCGACGAUCCCUAGCUGGUCUGAGAGGAUGACCAGCAACACUGGAACUGAGAAACGGUCCAUACGCCUACGGGAGGCAGCAGUGGGGAAUAUUGCACAAUGGGCGCAAGCCUGAUGCAGCCAUGCCGCGUGUGGGAAGAAGGCCUUCGGGUUGUAAAGCACUUUCAGCGAGGAGGCGUUACUCGCAGAAGAAGCACCGGCUAACUCCGUGCCAGCAGCCGCGGUAAUUC